rnacentral:misc_RNA from 1 species
GAUGAAGAACGUAGCGAAAUGCGAUAAGUAGUGUGAAUUGCAGAAUUCAGUGAAUCAUCGAAUCUUCGAACGCACAUUGCGCCCCUUGGUAUUCCAUGGGGCAUGCUUGUUCGAGCGUCAUUUGUACUCUCAAGCUCUGCUUGGUGUUGGGUGUUUGUCCUUUCCCUGCGUUAGGACUCGCCUCAAAUUCAUUGGCAGCCGAUAUAUUGGUUUGAAGCGCAGCACAAUUUGCGAUUCGGGCUGGUUAUUGUUGGCGUCCAGUAAGCACAUUUAACACUUUUGACCUCGGAUCAAGUAGGGAUACCCGCUGAACUUAAGCAUAUCAAUAAGCGGAGGA